GAUGAACGCUAGCGGCAGGCUUAAUACAUGCAAGUCGAGGGGCAGCAUGAUUGUAGCAUACAAUUGAUGGCGACCGGCAAACAGGUGCGGAACACGUACACAACCUCCCAAUAAGUGGGGAAUAGCCCAGAGAAAUUUGGAUUAAUACCCCGUAACAUAACGAUGUGGCAUCACAUUGUUAUUAUAGAUUUUUCGCUUAUUGAUGGGUGUGCGGCUGAUUAGAUAGUUGGCGGGGUAAAGGCCCACCAAGGCUACGAUCAGUAGCUGAUGUGAGAGCAUGAUCAGCCACACGGGCACUGAGACACGGGCCCGACUCCUACGGGAGGCAGCAGUAAGGAAUAUUGGACAAUGGACGCAAGCCUGAUCCAGCCAUGCCGCGUGAAGGAUUAAGGUCCUCUGGAUUGUAAACUUCUUUUAUAAGGGACGAAAAAAGGCUUUUCUAAGUCGUCUGACGGUACCUUAUGAAUAAGCACCGGCUAACUCCGUGCCAGCAGCCGCCGUAACAC
rnacentral:rRNA from 1 species